UACGUAGGGCGCAAGCGUUGUCCGGAAUUAUUGGGCGUAAAGAGCUCGUAGGCGGCUUGUCACGUCGGGUGUGAAAGCCCGGGGCUUAACCCCGGGUCUGCAUUCGAUACGGGCAGGCUAGAGUGUGGUAGGGGAGAUCGGAAUUCCUGGUGUAGCGGUGAAAUGCGCAGAUAUCAGGAAGAACACCAAUGGCGAAAGCAGCUCUCUGGGACGGUACUGACGCUGAGGAGCGAAAGCGUGGGGAGCGAACAGG
rnacentral:rRNA from 1 species